UAGGGAAUCUUCCACAAUGGACGCAAGUCUGAUGGAGCAACGCCGCGUGAGUGAAGAAGGGUUUCGGCUCGUAAAGCUCUGUUGUUAAAGAAGAACGUGAGUAAGAGUAACUGUUUACCUAGUGACGGUAUUUAACCAGAAAGCCACGGCUAACUACGUGCCAG
rnacentral:rRNA from 1 species